rnacentral:rRNA from 1 species
ACGCUCGACACCUACUGGAGGCAGCAGUAGGGAAUUUUCGUCAAUGGGGGGAACCCUGAACGAGCAAUGCCGCGUGAGUGAAGAAGGUCUUCGGAUCGUAAAGCUCUGUUGUAAGAGAAAAAGGGCGCAUAUAGGAAAUGAUAUGCGAUUGAUGGUAUCUUACCAGAAAGCCACGGCUAACUACGUGCAAGCAGCCGCGGUAAUCUGAGCGGGCUGGCAAGGC